rnacentral:rRNA from 1 species
AACCCUUAUCCUUUGUUGCCAGCACGUAAUGGUGGGAACUCAAAGGAGACUGCCGGUGAUAAACCGGAGGAAGGUGGGGAUGACGUCAAGUCAUCAUGGCCCUUACGAGUAGGGCUACACACGUGCUACAAUGGCAGAUACAAAGAGAAGCGACCUCGCGAGAGCAAGCGGAACUCAUAAAGUCUGUCGUAGUCCGGAUUGGAGUCUGCAACUCGACUCCAUGAAGUCGGAAUCGCUAGUAAUCGUAGAUCAGAAUGCUACGGUGAAUACGUUCCCGGGCCUUGUACACACCGCCCGUCACACCAUGGGAGUGGGUUGCAAAAGAAGUAGGUAGCUUAACCUUCGGGAGGGCGCUUACCA